UGGGGGAUAUUGCACAAUGGAGGAAACUCUGAUGCAGCGACGCCGCGUGAGUGAAGAAGUAUUUCGGUAUGUAAAGCUCUAUCAGCAGGGAAGAAAGGCUCGCAAGAGAGAUGACGGUACCUGAGUAAGAAGCUCCGGCUAAAUACGUGCCAGCAGCCGCGGUAAUACGUAUGGAGCAAGCGUUAUCCGGAUUUACUGGGUGUAAAGGGAGCGCAGACGGAUAUGCAAGUCUGAAGUGAAACCCCACGGCUCAACCGUGGGCUUGCUUUGGAAACUGUAGAUCUAGAGUACUGGAGAGGUAAGCGGAAUUCCUGGUGUAGCGGUGAAAUGCGUAGAUAUCAGGAAGAACAUCGGCGGCGAAGGCGGCUUACUGGACAGCAACUGACGUUGAGGCUCGAAGGCGUGGGGAGCAAACAGGAUUAGAUACCCUGGUAGUCCACGCGGUAAACGAUGAAUACUAGGUGUUGGGAGACAAGGUUUUUCAGUGCCGAAGCAAACGUGAUAAGUAUUCCACCUGGGGAGUACGGCCGCAAGGUUA
rnacentral:rRNA from 1 species